rnacentral:lncRNA from 1 species
UUUUUUUUUUUUUUUUUUUUUUUUUACUGAUGGGUUUUUAAUUUAUUUGCAGGCCUCUUGUUACUCUGGUUUAUCCCUUGUAAGUAGAAUGUUUAAUUUUUUUGUUUUAAAUUGUAAUUAUUUAUUUGCUAUUUGGAUAUUUGUUUUUCAACAUUGGGUAUUUGUUUGAUCUCAAUUAAUUUAAUGUUCUAAGAUUUUGGUUUUAAACUAAAAUUGGACAGUUUAUGCUAUUUUCCCCAAAUUUUGGUGUGUGACUUUGAUGUUAGCAAAAUAGUUAAAAUUAUGCAAGUUUAUUUGUUAUUGUUUUUGCAUUUUAUAUUAAAUUUUUGAGAAAAUUUGCGAUUAAGCAAAAUGUUCUGAGUAGGAUAUUGUCUGAUUUUUUGAGAAUAUGUUUCAAACUUUCAUGUGAAUUACAGGUAUGCCUCAGUCCAGGCGAUUGAGAGUAAGUCCCCUAUUGAUGAUCAACAAUGGCUAACAUAUUGGGUUCUGUAUUCGAUGCUAACACUCUUUGAGCUCACCUUUGCAAAGGUCAUUGUAUGGUAAACAUCCCUACUCAAAAUUCAUGAUAUGUCUUUAAGAACUGGUCCGGUUUUGCUCAAACUUGAUUUGUGGAUAAAAUGUUGUGAUAUUUGGGUUAUGUUGAAUUCCAUGAUCGAUAUUCCAAGGAAAAAUGUGAGAUACAAUUCAAUAGAACCAUGAUAGAGUAGUAUGAUAUCUGUAUCUGACAGAAGUUGUAAAGGAAAGAGAAUUAUUUUUUGGAUAUUGCUUUCCUUUAAGAAUCAUAUUAGAUAUGCAAUUGUACCUAUUCGUAUUGACUCAAAUUUUCCUUUGGGAUUGUGUUUCGAUGUUUUAUUUAAAACAAAGAAAAUUACAUAUAGUGCAUAUCAUGUCUAGUUCUAAUUCAUCUCCACCACAGGCUACCCUUCUGGCCUUACGCAAAGCUUAUCGCCACCUGCUGGUUGGUCUUACCUUACUUCAGUGGUGCUGCAUAUGUCUAUCAGCACUUUGUUAGACCGAUGUUUGUGAACCCACAAACAAUUAACGUCUGGUAUGUCCCAUGGGGAAAGAAGGACGGCUUACAUAAGAAGGAGGACAUCUUAACUGCUGCAGAGAAAUACAUUCAAGAGAAUGGGCCACAAGCAUUUGAGAAGCUCAUUAGCAGGGUAUGUGUAGUAUUCUAAUUGUUUAUUAAUUUUCAGACUAGUCUGUGUAAUUUCCUGCUUUAGUUUCACUUUUGAGCAUGCCAUUUCAUCUUGAUUUUUAGAUCUAAGAUUGCUUUAAAAGAUGCUGGACUUUUCUUUCCCAAUUAAUGAUGACUACAUAUACGUGCAAUUGUCUCAUUAUGAAUAGUUAUGCGGAUCUAGUUUGAAAUGCUCUAAGCUCUAUCUACAUAUCAUGCAAAAUCUUAUGGAGAUUAAUUUAUUUUAUUUGUAUAAAUUUGUAUCUGUAAAAGAAGCCAUGAAGAUUUUAGUGGAUGGUAAAGCACAUAGUCUAGUUUUGUGUUAUAACUAUAAGUAGCAUAAAACUCUUGUAUAGUUUUAUCUAUAACAAAGACAGAAUACAUCCCUUCAGAAGUAGAACCUAGCACACUUUCUUCUAAAAUAUAAUAGUAUGAUUGGAGGUGUAUCCAAGGUUACAUGAAGAUAACACUGUGGUGAAGCGAUGAACACCUACUGUUUAAAAGGUUGAACUUUAUAUGUAUUUUUUUUGAAUCAGCACUUUACGCCUUUGCUUUGAGUUCUAUAACAAACCUAAUAAAAGCAUCCAACUCAUGCCAAGUUGAGUUCUAAUUUCUCAAAGAAUGUAGCUGGAAGUAAUGAAGUGAACUGAGCACUGACAUUUCGUUGUUGAAGAAAUAUUCUGGUACACUGUUGAUCUCUUCUUGCUGUUAAAUGUUGUAUAACUUCUUAUUUCCUUCUUUUCCUCGUUUUUACUUUCGCAGAAUAAGGAAACAGGACAUAGGCAGAUGAGCCAUUACUCUGAUGAAGAUUAUGGCCAUUCAGUUUGGUGAUGCAGAACACUCCGGUUGUGCAGUUUUGGGGUUGAUAUUUGUUUCUCUUUUCUUGUCCAUAUUGUCGAGGAUCAUAGGAAGAUUAUGUCUAUAUGGUGAAUGCAACACCCAUGUAUGUUUCUCGUCUGUCUGUCCCGGUGGUUAUUAUUAAUGUCUGUAGUACUUCAAUGAGAAGAAUAUCUCUGGUUUCUUGUAAGUUACUAUUAUCCUAUAGCGUUAUCUCUAAAUUGCGAGUUCUCAACCAUUAAAGUAACUGGUUAAUAUAGAGCAGCUACCAACUCAAUUGGGGGUCUCAAUCAAUUUUUGAGUGCAUAAGAAGAACUCAAUUGUGGUUUCCAUAUUGCUGUGCUAACUGCUAAGUUGAUAGUAUUGUAGCAUUUUACCCCUGCAAGGUGUUUUACUAUUCUACGGCGAUCAUAUAAACUGCUCAUGCAUAACUAGGGGAUUAUAUGUCAGACACUCGGACUGUCAGCCUAAUAAUUAAGGUCAUUAACCUAUUAUUGUUCUUAUUUCUGUAUAAAUGUAUUUAAAUGAUGCAUGCUUAAGUAGAGAGCUGUCACCGAUGGAAUAAUUAUUCAAGUUGAUUGCCCUUGAAAUCAUGAAUAGUCUAAUAAGAUGAGAACAAUUUCAGUUACAUUGAUGUCUGAACUGUCUUGGAAAGAAGGUGCUGCAAUUGUGAGUCGUAAAUUGAUGUCAUCUUCCUAAAGGGGUAAAGCACUAGGCACUACCCAUUACGCCAUUCCAUUGCGAUAAAUUUGAAGUGGUUGAAGCGGUAUGUGGCUUGCUGGCUCACAUGCUUGCAUGUUUUGCAGAACAUUGCAAAGCACUCGCAAUUGUUUUCAAAGAGAUGGUAGUCCCCAAACCCCUUGUAUAAAAGGUUUGUGGCGCGACUUAUAACUACAUCUUCUGGAUCACUUUGACCGGUCGUGCAUGUUCCUGGUUUUUUGCAGAGGAAGUGACCAAAUGAGAUACCAUAUUCGUACCUGUAAAGAUCAUGGCCAGAAAGAAAGCAAUCAAUACAAGUUUUGAUCACUCCUCGUUUCACAUUUUGGUCAUGCCCACAGUUUUUGCACUGAUUCUCUCGUUUCGAUGUUUUUCCUGAGACACUACCAUACGAGCCAGAUCCUCCUUUUGUAUUAGUGUAAUGGAUAACCCUAUCUGCCUCCACAUAUAUUCCUGGGCAUCAUAAUUUUGAUUAAUUAAGCUAGAUGUGUAGUAUAUUUCAGCUUUUUAUACAUAUAUAAGAUCAACAAACUCACCAUGGUGGGCAUAAAUUUGAGCUUUUCUAUAGCUAUAAAUGUGAUCUCCCGGCUGGAGCUGGCUCCUGUCAACCUUGUUUGAAAACAGUCCCAUCUUGAUUGCUCAGUGUCUCAGUUACUGGAAGUUCUGGUUUUAUCGAUCUUUGAGACUUUCACCACCCAGUGUGAUCAAGUGAGCAUGCAGAGCAAUUGUUCACAGAGCUUGAUCAAUCUAUGCUUUAUAUAAUGAGAUUGGAGGAAAAAUAAGAGAAUAUAAAGAAUUAAAGUGAUAAUUCAUGUGUGGUAGGGAAUGCAUCUAAAUUCUGAACUAGGUCUAAACCUGGCCUACUUGCUAGCGCGUAUUUGAAAGUUCUCAUGAAGGUUCCUGUAGUACUGUUGUUGACUUAUGGCUGUGCAGUAGACUUUCAAAGUUUCUAACACUUUAAAAUGCUUCUGUAGAAAUAAAAAUGUUUAUAUGUGAUUAAUUAAAAUAAAUAUAUAUCGGCAUUUGGCUAUAAAUUUACUUCUUUCACACCCUGAACUGUGCUUCGAGUAAAAGAAGCAUAGAACUUAAACGAGUAUUUGAGAAAACUUGAACAGAAGAAAUAAGUUGUAUUGAUUGGGAAGAAAUAAUUAACAGUCAUACAUCACAAUAUCACUGGCACAUUCUUGAUCUCUCAGAUACAUGAAACAAUAUACCAAGUUCAAGCAUACUACCAAAGGAAAGAAUACAUGGUCACAUCCCCAACAAGGUCUAAAGAGCAUCCUGA